rnacentral:sRNA from 1 species
UAGAUACGAAUACACCGGAAGCCUUAUC